GUUGCUCUUAUUGGCGUUGGACGUUGUACGCGACGGUGGCGCGCAUAUCAUGUAUAACAGAACAAAGUUGGAGGAUUAAGUCAUACAAUAUUAUUAUUAAAAAUAUGUAUAAGGAUGAUUUAAUUAACAACUUAUGAAAAAUCUAAUUAGUAGAUUGUUAAUCAUUUAAAAUGUGUAUAUGACAAAAAAGUUACAUAAAUAAUUAAAAUAACAAAAAAUUCUUAAUUUGAAAAAAUACUGAAAAUAAAAAUGUAAAACCAUUUCUUGUGUUGGUGUUUACAGUUUAAAGUGACGGCAAACUUGGAGAAUAUUUAACAUAAAUAAAAAAAAUAAGCAAUUUACGUUGCUACCAAAUACAAACCAGCCAAAAGAAUUGUGGCAAGAGCAAUUUUUUUUAUAAUUUUUAAAGUAUAUUUCCACAUUAAAUGUUGCUUAAUACUUGUUUUUCAUAUAUAUAAUUUUCUAUUUAAUUUUUUAUUAAAAAGUGUUACAACUCAGAAAUAGCUCUUGUAACUUGCGGCAACAAUUAAAAAAAGGUCUUGAGAUCUUGUUUUCUGUGUGUGUGUGUGUGUAUUAGAUUUUAGCCGCUACUAAAUCCAGUUAACAUUUUGGUGUUUAUUUUUUUUCUUUGGUUGUUUUUGAAUUUGUUGCUAUUGGUUGCCAUUUUACUAAGUUUGAAUAGAAGUGUGGGCAAUGAAGUGAGGAGCAGUGCGGUUUGAAAACGAUUACAAUAUUUGGAUUUUUAAACGGCAAUUUUAUUUAUUAAAGACGCUAAUCAAUUCUACUUAUUAAAGGUUUUGAAAUUCGACACCGACAGCGCGCUACUCACAAAAGAUACCAAAAAACUUCAAAAUAAAAAUAUAGGAAAUCUAAAGUCUUUUUCUACAAAAGACCUCAACUGCAAUGCUCGCGUGGGCAAAGUGUAAAUUGACACUCUAAGAAAAUAUAAAUAUUUCAUAUUAACUUAGCACGCGCCCAUUGAUUUUCAAAAUAAAAUUUAUUUUGAAUA